rnacentral:misc_RNA from 1 species
GUGUUUCUGAUAUAUUUCUUGUGCUAGUAAAGAAAUAAUAAACAAGUGGUAUAAUAAAUUUUUUUUACUUAUUUUUUAAUUUCAUAUAAUUAUAUAUAUAGUGCAAAGUAAAGCAUUUAAGAGAAUAUCCACGGGAAUUGUGUGAAAAAUGAACUGAAAUACAUAAAGUCAUCCAAGAAACAAAGGAUAAAGGAAACCUAUAAAAACUACUAGAACAAGCUCAAGUGCAGGAGUUGUAGACACAUGAUAAGCCCUUAGCACACGCUACAAAAAAAAUGCUACAAUCAAAAAACAUGCUUGAUGAAUCCCCUGCCCCUGCUGAUGGGUGUUGCAAUUCCAGAAUGCCGGAGAAUGAGCCACUUCUAACGCCUCCGUCUACGCCAUCAAUCGACGCUGGCAAUCACAUUUCAAUUACAACGAACACACAAAUUUCAAAUACAAUGAAUUCGCCUUGUUCAAGUGACGAAGAGACACUUAGCCCACAUCAUGCAAUGGAUAUUAUAAAAGGACACUUUCUAAAAGAUUUCGAUGUAAGAGACAUUUGGUCAUAUACACAUAACAUAUUCACCGAAUCUGAGAGGCAAUACAUUACUGCGACCCUACAAUGCGAUGAUCCAUGUACACAACGUCCAUCGACUGAUACACAGGAAAUACUUGGUGAGGAACAGGUGUCACGUCUAUUUGCUGUUUUGCGCAAUAAAGAUUACUCCGAAAUAUGCAAAUUUAUGGAAGCUUUAAGUUAUGAUUACCUAUGGCUAGUGAACUUAUUUGAAAAUGUAAAUAAAAUUGAUUAUGGCAACUACGUGGAUUUAUUGCACUCGCUGCACUCAAAAGCUAGUCUAAAAUAUGAGGAUUACCAUGUGCAUCGCUCAAUGCCGUUUCGUAAAUUGCGCAAAGCCCUGCUAAACAUACCAUUUAACGGUCGUGUAGUUUUGGCCAGCGAUUUCGGUUGCGGCAAAAAGUGGUUAGCAAUUGAUGCUUGUACUGAUUAUGACGUUGCAAAAUCUAUGAACUUCCAAAUUUAUUGGAUUGAUAUGAGUGAAUGUACAAGUUCAUUGGAAGAUUUACGAAUGUUACGUUAUUUGAAAUUAUUACUCACAGAAUCCUUACGUUCACCUUCGCCAGCUAGUUAUGGUUCAUUGGAUCGUUCUGAGCCCAAUACGCAUGCGUAUAGAAAUUCAAUAGAUGAAAUUAAACUUUCUGUGAGUAAGGAAUUAAAAAAGACUGAAAACAAGAAGUGCCUUGUAGUCUUGGUAAAUGUUGGGAAUACAUAUGCGUUGAAGGCUUUUGAUUUACCAUGUAAACUACUUGUUAUUACACGCAAUAAAAAGGUUAGCGAUUCGUUUGACAAAAAACGUAGCACAACAUUACGCUUGACAAGCGGUCUCACGCGUGCAGAAAUGCAUAUGCUCUUUGAAAAAUAUUUGGAGCAUCGGAAUAUUGAAGAAAAAUAUGUAGAUUUAAUUUACACUCAUAGUAAUGGACAUCCAUACCUACUGAGCUUAAUUGGACAGAGCUUAAGUCAAAAUUUGGGUAAUUGGCAGGGUUGGAUCGAGAAGCUGAGAGAAACAAAACUGGUUGACGAGAAAUUCAACGCCGCUAUUGAAAAGAGUCUCGAUAGCUUAGAACCAGAACUGAGAAAGACAUUUUGUACGGUAUUUAGAUGCUUUCCGCAUGCCAUUUUUGUGCCACAGCAGUUGAUUGCAGCACUUUGGUUCGAUGAUAAAUGUGUCAAAGACUUGGCCAAUGAUGAUAUAUGCUAUAAGUUACCAUUCAUCUAUGAUAGAUCUAUCUAUGAUAAAUGCGUCAAAGAUUUGGCCAAAUUACAUCGUCAUGGAUUUCUGGAAAAAUGUAUAUCGCCCAAUGAUGAUAUAUGCUAUAAAUUACCAUUUAUCUAUGAUAAAAUGUUGGGCAGAUAUGAAGCGACACAAGUUGACGGCGUGUACGUGUAUAUGCAUAGAAAGUUGCUUGCUUAUUAUCACUUCGUUGAAGAUCUGGAAGCGCGCAAAGAAGUUUUGCCAUUUAAUCGUGAUAUUCAUGAUGUAUAUUUUUUCCUUUGCGUUGGUUAUCAUUUGAAAAAGGCCAAACUCGUCGAGUAUUUUCCACAAAUCUACUUAGAUUAUGGUUUUCUGGAACAGAAAAUACGUAACGUCGACAUGUUAAGCACAAUUGCUGACUUGGAAACAUUUCAAGAGUAUAUUGCGCCUGAUUUGGAGUCGUAUAAAGUUUUUCGUGCCAUACGUGACUUUUUACCCAAUAUCGAAAAGACAUUACAAGAAUCACAGCAUGCUACACUCCUUCAAUGUGCGCUUAUGGAGGAUGGUUUAGUAGGCAUAGAAGCGCGUAAACAAGCAGCUGUUUUUCCGGGUUUCACCUGGUUUGAACAUCAUGGAUGUAUACAUCAACGUUCUAAUAUUAUUUCAUUGCCCAGCAUACCAAAAAAGAUUUUACUACUGGAUCAAAAACGCUCUUUAGUUGCUUUAGAGCAAAGAGCAGAUAUAUUGCUGAUUAAUUUAUCGUUAGAUUGGAAUACGUAUUCAGUGAAAUUAAAAAAUACAGUGAAAGGAAAAUCAACCGUUAUUGAUAUACGUUUUUUCAAAGACAAUAAUGCGUCCAUUCUAUUGGCAUUGUAUGAUAAUGGGAAUAUGAAAGCCUGGUGUAUACCAGGUGACUGCACUGUGGACCGUCGCAGAUCUGAUUCAUUUUCACGUCCUCAGGAAAAAGAAAUUGAGCAUAGAAAUGUGAUUCCACCGUCUCACUUAUUACAACCUAUUACUGCAUUUGAAUUAUCUUUUGGUGCUAUUGGCCAUCCACCAAUUAUAUAUUUGGCUUAUAAAAGUGGUGAUAUCAAGCAUCUUAAGUGGAAUAGUGAAAGUAAGACUUUCGAGUCGGCACUAAUAGAAACUUUAAAUACGAAAAUGCAAGAUAUAUGCAUUUUACGUUUUGUAUUCAAUCGCAAUUAUAUUGUGUGCACCAAAGAUGGAGACAUUGCCGUUUUCGAUGUUAUAGACUAUUCGAAUUCACGUGGCAUUGAGAAAUUCAAACAUUUCGUUGAAUCCAUUGAGACAACGCGCAAUGAAGUACUCUUGAUUUGUCGUCGUUGCAUUGUUAGCUUUACCAGUAGAUCAAUAAUUGAUAACAAGCCUGUGGAAUAUAUAUUGCACGAGGAUAACUUAAUCGCGGAUGAUCGUGAUAAUGUAAUCAAUUGUGCAAAAUUACUACACAUCAACGGCCAUAAGCAGCUGGCAUUGGGCACUAAAAAGGGUCUAAUAGUCUUUGACAUAGAAACGCGUACCAAAUUACUCACAACAAAUGUGAAUGAAGACAUUACUUGUGUUGAUAUAUAUUUAUUGGAUGCUCUCAAGAACAAAUAUAUGGUGGCUUGUGGUUCACAUGCGUACAAGUUCUUGAAUUUAUUUGUUUUGCGUGCCGAUGAUAAUGGUAAACAAGUGAUCCGAUGGCUACGUGGUUCAAAAUCAUCUCGUAAGAGAGAUUCGUGGAGAGUGGACAUGGUGGAUUUACAGAUGCCGCCAUAUGUUGCGUUAAAGGGCGGACAUUUGUUUGCUUUGCAGUAUGUGCGCGAUGAAGCGGUGCUUUUGGCAGUUGAUUCGCAGAACCAGGUACAUAAAAUCGCUUAUGGCAAUAACGAAUUAUAUGAACCUAUAUCAUCCCCCAUCACUGCCAUUACACUCUACGGUACGCAAGCGUUUGUUGGUUGCGCAAAUGGUCAAUUGUUCGAUAUGUCGGGACACACACCACAACCUAUUUUAACAGCUUUUGAUCAAUCGAUCGAAUUUUUACGGUUGCUUAAUGAACAAACACUGAUUGUCGCCGAUGAGGCGGAAGUUUUAAUUUAUACAAAUAUAAAUUAUGGCCAAUUUAAGCGAUUCGCUUUGAAUUCUGAGAAAAUCGUGCGUUGCUUUAUUUUACCGCCUGAGCGUAUAGUGCUUGUUUUUGAAAACCGAACAUUUUGGGUCUUAGAUAGUUGUGGUAGUUUAAUCUUUAAAUAUGUGCCAGAGAUUCGGAGCGUAAUUGGUGAUUGUGAUUUACAAAAUAAACAGUUGUUUGUUGUAGCUCAAAGCUACAAAAUCGAGCUAAUACAUAAUUUUUUCUUCAUGCAUGAACGAUGAAAUCUUUAGUUUUGAGCUUACGCUGAGCAAUGAUCAGCUGUUGGAUACUUUGGUGGAUUUGUAAUCUCUAUGUAGAGCUAUUUACUUUGACUAAAUUUACUUUCCUGGCAUCUGCUGCUCUUUGAGAAAUAGUUUUCAAUUUAGCCGAUUCACUUGCACCCAAAAUACCGGAAUUAACACAUUUCGGUGCGUUUAAGGCAAAAGUCAGUUGCGUGGCUGUGUCACGCA